rnacentral:sRNA from 1 species
AAUACAAUCAACAGGGGAUGAAAAUCAAUCUAAUAGAAGUUCUAAGGAUGGAUUCAUUGAUAAGGGUAACUCUAGUGUUCAUCAAAUGGCUAAUAGGCGAAAGGUAGAUUUUCAUGACGAUAGAUUCAAAAACUGGGUCAAUCCACUCUCGUGACAGAGACCCCCAUAACUCUACCACUUCCUAAUCUCAACUCUUGUUGAUGAAACAUAGCAGAGCAGGGUUUAAGAAAAAAUCUACCAAAGCCAAUAGGCAGACAAACCAAUCCCUUGGCCGAGUCUACAUAUCUCUAGAAUUCGUAAGUCAGACAUCCACUUGAACGUCUUUUGGACGCUGGACGUCUUUGAUCGAAUCUCCACAUUAGCCAGCGAAAACCGCAUAGGGGCCAAGCGAAUCCAGAAGGGUAUAAACCUAAACACUAACCACCUAACUAACCAAGAGAUUACCCUAAUCUAAUCCGUCCUCAAGAACCCUAAUCACUACUCAAGCAACAUUCUCAAGAACACAAACCCAGAAAUUACUAAAAUCAUACCAAAAUGUAGAUCUAAACAAGCUAAACAACUUUACUUAAACAAUCAAAUGCAAAAACGAAAUAGAUUAAGAGUAAUUAAAGUUUCAAAAUUCAUAAACACAAAGAAAAACUGAAAGAUAAAGCAUAAAUCCUUUGGACAAACCCCAAAUGAUCUAUUUAUACUAAAAUGUUGGAAACCCUAGAUUCACUAGAAGACAAGAGACUUGAGGCGGUUUGGGCGAAUACUCGACCUUGGGGAUCGAGUAAAGAGGGUGCUGCAAAGUCUGCGCCUUUGUGUCUAUGCUCCGACUGAUCAAUUGGUCGAGUAGAUGCUUCGUCCUCUCCUAUUCGUAUGCUCAGAUGUCUGGUUGAGUGGGGAAUGAGGAGGAUCCGAAGACGCUUUGAUAGCUCAACAAGUCUUGUAGAGAUGCUUCAUCAUUUCGUCUGCUUGUUUUUGUGGUAUAGGUACUAAUCUUUGUGCAUGCAAACUCGAUCCAAAGGUUCUACACACCUACUACUUUUCAAAGACAGAAUAGACAGAAUAGCUCAUGAAUUACAAGAAACCAAAGCAAAGGCACCCUGUGAUCAGCAAAAACCAGCUCCUAUGGAUCAACAGAAACAGACCAGUUGAUGUUCAAGACCCACCUAAUGUUGAUCAACCAAGAAACAUUGGUGCUGGUGAUGCCCCAAGGAAUCAUCACCAAAGACAAG